rnacentral:rRNA from 1 species
GAUGAACGCUAGCGGCAGGCCUAACACAUGCAAGUCGAGGGGCAGCACGUCUUCGGAUGGUGGCGACCGGCGCACGGGUGCGUAACGCGUAUGCAACCUACCUUACACAGGGGUAUAGCCCGGAGAAAUUCGGAUUAAUCCCCCAUAGCACUUAGAGAUGGCAUCAUUUUUAAGUUAAAGUAUUGCGGUGUAAGAUGGGCAUGCGUCCUAUUAGCUAGAUGGUAAGGUAACGGCUUACCAUGGCUACGAUAGGUAGGGGGCCUGAGAGGGUGGUCCCCCACACUGGUACUGAGACACGGACCAGACUCCUACGGGAGGCAGCAGUGAGGAAUAUUGGUCAAUGGGCGCAAGCCUGAACCAGCCAUGCCGCGUGCAGGAAGAAUGCCCUAUGGGUUGUAAACUGCUUUUAUUUAGGAAUAAACCUUUCUACGUGUAGAAAGCUGAAGG